AGAGUUUGAUCAUGGCUCAGAACGAACGCUGGCGGCGUGGAUAAGACAUGCAAGUUGAGCGAUGAACUGACGAUAGCAAUAUCUGACGGGAUUAGCAGCGAACGGGUGAGUAACACGUAGGAAUCUGCCCCAAAGUUCGGGAUAGCUCGGUGAAAGCCGGGGUAAUACCGGAUGUGAUCUUCGGAUUAAAGGCUUCGGUCGCUUUGGGAUGAGCCUGCGUUCCAUCAGCUUGUUGGUAGGGUAAAAGCCUACCAAGGCGAAGACGGAUAGCUGGUCUGAGAGGACGGUCAGCCACAAUGGAACUGAGACACGGUCCAUACACCUACGGGUGGCAGCAGUCGAGAAUCAUUCGCAAUGGACGAAAGUCUGACGGUGCGACGCCGCGUGGGGGAUGAAGGCCUUAGGGUCGUAAACCCCUGUCGGGUGCAAGUAAGGUCCUACUUACGUAGGAAUUGAUAUUAGCAUCAAAGGAAGGGACGGCUAACUCCGUGCCAGCAGCCGCGGU
rnacentral:rRNA from 1 species